AUGGACCCAGCAGCAUCCGCACCCUCCCAGGAGUUUCGGGAGGAAGUAAUUGACUCUGUUUCGAGGUUGAUUAAUCUCUGGCUCGAACGUGAGGGGGAGGAAUUGCACCGCGCUGUAGAAGCCAGGCUACAGCGAUUACUCUCUGCUCACCACUGGCUACUGGACUCUCUUCAUCCGCUCGCACAGGACUUCAUUCUGAACGAGCUUCACCUUCACCCUUCAACCGCUACCACUUCCCAACCCAGCCCGGCGGCGAAUGUUUUGCUCUGCCUGCCGGGGAAUCUGCGGCCCGGCCCGCCGGAGGUGGAAUUACCCGGCCGGUCGGUGCUAUCCCCAAGAAGGAAGCGACGUUCACGCCACCGACGCCCAUCGCCACAGCCAGACCCCGAGAGUUCUGAGUUGCCGGCUGUGGUGAGUAACAGAGACAAUAAUCACGAGUUUUCCAAUUUAAGGACCGUUUAUUCUGGGGCCGUUUUCUGUGCCGCCAGUAAGGACUAUGGUGUUUUCCCUGGCUCACCUGCAACUGUCGAUUAUAAGAAUGUGUUUCCAGGAGCUCACUUAGCUACCCAGCCUCCAGGAGCUCACUUAGCUGCCCAGCCUCCAGGAGCUCACUUAGCUGCCCAGCCUCCAGGAGCUCACUUAGCUGCCCAGCCUCCAGGAGCUCACUUAGCUGCCCAGCCUCCAGGAGCUCACUUAGCUGCCCAGCCUCUAGGAGCUCACUUAGCUGCCCAGCCUCCAGGAGCUCACUUAGCCGCUCAGUCGUCAUCUCCAUCACAUUCAGCCUCACAACCCAUACCUCAGUUACAGUCACAGCCAGACUUAUUACAAACUAUGUUACAGUCCAUUUCCCAGUCUAUAGCUCAGUUGGUAAAAGAAUCAUCAGCCUUAUCAUCAGCUCAGUCUCCAACUUCACCACCAUGGUCGUCCCAACCAUUAUUUCAGUCACCCUCAGUCCAGCCUCCAGUCUGUGGCUCCACCUGUACAACAAUGCAAGUCAUUUCAACCUGA
rnacentral:lncRNA from 1 species